AGCGAACGCUGGCGGCAGGCCUAACACAUGCAAGUCGAACGAACCUUUCGGGGUUAGUGGCGGACGGGUGAGUAACACGUGGGAACGUGCCUUUAGGUUCGGAAUAACUCAGGGAAACUUUUGCUAAUACCGAAUGUGCCCUUCGGGGGAAAGAUUAAUCGCCUUUAGAGCGGCCCGCGUCUGAUUAGCUAGUUGGUUGAGGUAAUGGCUCACCAAGGCGACGAUCAGUAGCUGGUCUGAGAGGAUGAUCAGCCACAUUGGGACUGAGACACGGCCCAAGCUCCUACGCGAGGCAGCAGUGGGGAAUAUUGCGCAAUGGGCGAAAGCCUGACGCAGCCAUGCCGUGUGAAUGAUGAAGGUCUUAGGAUUGUAAAAUUCUUUCACCGGGGACGAUAAUGACGGUACCCGGAGAAGAAGCCCCGGCUAACUUCGUG
rnacentral:rRNA from 1 species